AGCGUAUAUUAAAGUUGUUGCAGUUAAAAAGCUCGUAGUUGAAUUUCGGGAUCAAUACGUCGGUCGUGCUUCGGUACGUACUGGCGUCAUUGAUUUCUCCCUUCUGAAGAACCUUGAUGCCAUUAACUUGGUGUCAUGGGAAAUCAGGACUGUUACUUUGAAAAAAUUAGAGUGUUUAAAGCAGGCUCACGCUUGAAUACAUUAGCAUGGAAUAAUGAAAUAGGACGUUCGACCCUAUUUUGUUGGUUUCUAGGAUCAACGUAAUGAUUAAUAGGGAUAGUUGGGGGCAUUAGUAUUCAAUUGUCAGAGGUGAAAUUCUUGGAUUUAUUGAAGACUAACUACUGCGAAAGCAUUUGCCAAGGAUGUUUUCAUUAAUCAAGAACGAAAGUUAGGGGAUCGAAGACGAUCAGAUACCGUCGUAGUCUUAACCAUAAAC
rnacentral:rRNA from 1 species